ensembl:lncRNA
AAGACAUCAAAACUAUGAAAUAACACAUGGAAUCAUGUAGUAACCAAAAAAGUGUUAAACAAAUCUUGAGUUUUGAGAUUCGUCAAAGUAGCCACCCUUUGCCUUGAUGACCGCUUUGCACACUCUUGGCAUUCUCUCUUCAUGAGGUAGUCACCUAGCAUGCGUUUUAAUUAACAGGUGUGCCUUGUUAAAAGUUCAUUUGGAAUGUUUGAGCCUAUCAGUUGUGUUGUGACAAGGUUAGGAGUGGUAUACAGAAGAUAGCCCUAUUUGGGAAAAGACAAUGUUCAUAUUAUGGCAAGAACAGCUCAAAUAAGCAAAGAGAAACAACAGUCCAUCAAUAGGUCAGUCAAUGUGGAAAAUGUAAAGAAUAUUGAACGUUUCUUCAAGUGCAGUCACAAUAACCAUCAUGCACUAUGAUGAAACUGGCUCUCAUGAGGACCACCACAGGAAAGGAAGACCCAGAGUCACCUCUGCUGCAGAGAAUAAGUUCAUUAGAGUUUCCAGCCUCAGAAAUUGCAGCCCAAAUAAAUGCUUCACAAAGUUCAAGUAACAGACAUUUCACAACAUCAUCUGUUCAGAGGAGACGAUGUGAAUCAGGCCUUCAUGGUCGAAUUGCUGCAAAGAAAACACUACUAAAGGACAUCAAUAAUAAGAAGAGACUUGCUUGGGGCCAAGAAACACGAGCAAUGGACAAUAAACCGGUGGAAAUCUGUCCUUUGCUCUGAUGAGUCCAAAUUUGAGAUUUUUGGUUCCAACCUCCGUGAAGAGUAGGUGAACGAUUGAUCUCUACCCGUGUGGUUCCCACCGUGAAGCAUUGAGUAGGCAGUGUGAUGGUGUGGGGGUGCUUUGCUCGUGACACUGUCUGUGAUUUAUUUAGAAGGCACACUUAACCAGCAUGGCUACCACAGCAUUCUGCAGCGAUACGCCGUCCCAUCUGGUUUGCACUUAGUCCCACUAUAAUUUGUUUUUCAUCAGGACAAUGACCCAACACACCUCCAGGCUGUGCAAGGGAUAUUUGAGCAAGAAGGAGAGUGAUGGAGUGCUGCACCAGAUGACCUGGCCCCCACAAUCACCCGACCUCAACCAAAUUGAGAUGGUUUGGGAUGAGUUGGACCGCAAAGUGAAGUAAAAGCAGCCAACAAGUGCUCAGCAUGUGUGGGAAACGGUGGUAUGACCGAAAGAGAGGAGAGAGCAUAUCCUACCAAAGAGGGAGUCCAGUCCACACCAUGAGGAGUGGGAUGAGCGAAAACAUCCCGAGGUGUUGUUGGAAGCAGUAACUAACCACACAUAGUUCUAUCAAUGAAGACAAAAGGAGAGAGAUUGAGCGGGAAAGCAGGAAACUAUACUGUAUUAAUGAAUGUGGUGUUUUAAAGGGGGGAAACAACUGCUUGUUAGGCAGGCUUCAUGAUCUGAUUGUAUUAGUGUAUCGAGCUCUGUUGUUCACGUGUAGACUGCAUUUAUACAAGCAGCCCAAUUCUGAUCUUUUGCCCAAUUGUUGGCAAAAGCUCUGAUCUGAUUGGUCAAAAGGCCAAUUAUUGGCAAACGAUCAGAAUUGGGCUGCCUGUGUAAACGCAGCAAUACAGUAUAGGCUUACGCCACAGGAGGUCGUGGCACUUUAAUUGGGGAGGACGGGCUCGUGGUAACGGCUAGAAUGAGUGGAAUGGUAUCAGAUAUAUCAAACACAUGUUCUCCAUGGUUUCGAUGUGUUUGAUACGUUCCAUUCGCUCCGUUCCAGCCAUUAUUUUGAGCCGUCCUCUGAGCAGCCUCCACUGGCUUACAUUCAGCAGUUUGGCUUCAGGGCCUUUUACAUGAUUUACGUGAUAUUUGUAUAUUUAUGUUUAUAUUUACAUGAUAUUUGUAUAUUUAUGUUUAUAUUUACAUGAUAUUUGUAUAUUUAUGU